GUACUCACCUCAGUGAAGAAGUUAUCCAUUGUUGAAGUGGAGAAUGCAACUUGAGGAAGUCAGUCUAGCAAAAGGGCUGAGCAGCAAACCAUGUGUGGCCAGGGCGAUUACUCCCAGCAAGACUGAGUGUCCUCAGAUCCGUGGCAAGUGGCUGCACCAGAAACCUUGGUGGCACACUGCUGCCUUCGCUUGGAGCGGGGGCUGGAAAAAAAAAUGAGGAGGAGGAGAGAGGAUCCAGCCGCCGAGAAGCACGUGUCUGCUCCGCGUAAGUGCCCCCAAGCUGUCCAGGGCGUGCAGCUCCUGCAAGGACUUGCAGAGAGAGCGAGACACACACACAC